AACGAACGCUGGCGGCAGGCUUAACACAUGCAAGUCGAACGAUAUAGUGGCAGACGGGUGAGUAACGCGUGGGAACGUACCUUUCACUACGGAAUAGCUCUUGGAAACGAGUGGUAAUACCGUAUACGCCCUCCGGGGGAAAGAUUUAUCGGUGAAAGAUCGGCCCGCGUUAGAUUAGCUUGUUGGUAGGGUAAUGGCCUACCAAGGCGACGAUCUAUAGCUGGUCUGAGAGGAUGAUCAGCCACACUGGGACUGAGACACGGCCCAGACUCCUACGGGAGGCAGCAGUGGGGAAUCUUGCACAAUGGGCGAAAGCCUGAUGCAGCCAUGCCGCGUGAAUGAUGAAGGCCUUAGGGUUGUAAAAUUCUUUCGCUAGGGAUG
rnacentral:rRNA from 1 species